rnacentral:rRNA from 1 species
UACGUAGGGUGCAAGCGUUAAUCGGAAUUACUGGGCGUAAAGCGUGCGCAGGCGGUUGUGCAAGACAGAUGUGAAAUCCCCGGGCUCAACCUGGGAAUUGCAUUUGUGACUGUACGGCUAGAGUGUGUCAGAGGGGGGUAGAAUUCCACGUGUAGCAGUGAAAUGCGUAGAGAUGUGGAGGAACACCAGUGGCGAAGGCGGCAUCCUGGACCGGCAUUGACGCUGAGGCGCGAAAGCCAGGGGAGCAAACGGG